rnacentral:rRNA from 1 species
GACAGAGGUGCCAAGCGUUAGGCGGAAUCACUGGGCUUAAAGCGCGUGUAGGCGGCUUGGCAAGUCAGAUGUGAAAGCCCUCGGCUUAACCGAGGAAGUGCGUCUGAAACUGCUGAGCUUGAGUCUCGGAGAGGAUGGCGGAAUUCCGCAAGUAGAGGUGAAAUUCGUAGAUAUGCGGAGGAACACCGGUGGCGAAGGCGGCC